AUUGAACGCUGGCGGCAGGCCUAACACAUGCAAGUCGAGCGGAUGAAGGGAGCUUGCUCCUGGAUUCAGCGGCGGACGGGUGAGUAAUGCCUAGGAAUCUGCCUGGUAAUGGGGGAUAACGUCCGGAAACGGGCGCUAAUACCGCAUACGCCCUGAGGGAGAAAGGGGGGGAUCUUCGGACCUCACGCUAUCAGAUGAGCCUAGGUCGGAUUAGCUAGUUGGUGGGGUAAAGGCCUACCAAGGCGACGAUCCGUAACUGGUCUGAGAGGAUGAUCAGUCACACUGGAACUGAGACACGGUCCAGACUCCUACGGGAGGCAGCAGUGGGGAAUAUUGGACAAUGGGCGAAAGCCUGAUCCAGCCAUGCCGCGUGUGUGAAGAAGGUCUUCGGAUUGUAAAGCACUUUAAGUUGGGAGGAAGGGCAGUAAGUUAAUACCUUGCUGUUUUGACGUUACCAACAGAAUAAGCACCGGCUAACUUCGUG
rnacentral:rRNA from 1 species